AUUCCAGCUCCAAUAGCGUAUAUUAAAGUUGUUGCAGUUAAAAAGCUCGUAGUUGGAUUUCUGGUGGGAGCGUUGGGCCGGCCCUAAGGGUCUGAGCUCAAAUGUUUUCCGCCAUCCUUGGAGGGAUGUUGUCUGGCAUUAAGUUGUCGGGCUUCCGAUCUCCAUCGUUUACUGUGAAAAAAUUAGAGUGUUCAAAGCAGGCUUAUGCCGUUGAAUACAUUAGCAUGGAAUAAUAAGAUAGGACCUUGGUACUAUUUUGUUGGUUUGCGUACCUAGGUAAUGAUUAAUAGGGACAGUUGGGGAUAUUACUAUUUCGUUGUCAGAGGUGAAAUUCAUGGAUUUACGAAAGAGUAACUACUGCGAAAGCAUUUAUCAAGGAUGUUUUCAUCA
rnacentral:rRNA from 1 species